rnacentral:rRNA from 1 species
GACGAACGCUGGCGGCGUGCCUAAUACAUGCAAGUCGAGCGGACUAAGAUGGAACUUGUUCCAUCUCGGUUAGCGGCGGACGGGUGAGUAACACGUAGGCAACCUGCCUGCAAGCCUGGGAUAACUGCGGGAAACCGCAGCUAAUACCGGAUACACAGUCGAGAUGCAUAUCUUGACUGGGAAAGGCGGAGCAAUCUGUCGCUUGUAGAUGGGCCUGCGGCGCAUUAGCUAGUUGGUGAGGUAACGGCUCACCAAGGCGACGAUGCGUAGCCGACCUGAGAGGGUGAUCGGCCACACUGGGACUGAGACACGGCCCAGACUCCUACGGGAGGCAGCAGUAGGGAAUCUUCCGCAAUGGACGCAAGUCUGACGGAGUAACGCCGCGUGAGUGAGGAAGGCCUUCGGGUCGUAAAGCUCUGUUGCCAGGGAAGAAUGUCGAGGAGAGUAACUGCUCUCCGAAUGACGGUACCUGAGAAGAAAGCCCCGGCUAACUACGUGCCAGCAGCCGCAGUAAGAC